UACGUAGGGUGCAAGCGUUAAUCGGAAUUACUGGGCGUAAAGCGUGCGCAGGCGGUUGUGCAAGACAGAUGUGAAAUCCCCGGGCUCAACCUGGGAACUGCAUUUGUGACUGCACGGCUGGAGUGCGGCAGAGGGGGAUGGAAUUCCGCGUGUAGCAGUGAAAUGCGUAGAUAUUGUGAGGAACACUAGUGGCGAAGGCGAAUCUCUGGACAGUUCCUUACGCUGAGGCACGAAGGCCAGGGGAGCAAACGGG
rnacentral:rRNA from 1 species